AGGCAAACUCGGCCUUCCAGAUGUUUUUGGGACUACAAUUCCCAUCAUCCCUGACCACCGGUCCUGUUAGCUAGGGAUCAUGGGAGUUGUAGUCCCAAAACAUCUGGAGGGCCGAGUUUGCCU